rnacentral:rRNA from 1 species
CUACGAGAGGUUCGAGUUCUGGCGUCAGGAAGUGAACGCUGGCGGCGUGCCUAACACAUAGCAAGUCGAACGAAGCACUGGAAACGGAGAUUCGUCGAAGUUCUUUUGACUUAGUGGCGGACGGGUGAGUAAUGUGUGAGCAACCUGCCUUUCAGAGGGGACAACAGUUGGAAACGACUGCUAAUACCGCGUAAUGUAUAAUGGGGGCAUCCCUGUGAUACCAAAGGAGCAAUCCGCUGAAAGAUGGGCUCACAUCUGAUUAGCUAGUUGGUGGGGUAACGGCUCACCAAGGCUGCGAUCAGUAGCCGGACUGAGAGGUUGAACGGCCACAUUGGGACUGAGAUACGGCCCAGACUCCUACGGGAGGCAGCAGUGGGGAAUAUUGGGCAAUGGGCGAAAGCCUGAACCCCCAGCAACGCCGCGUGAAGGAAGAAGGUCUUCGGAUUGUAAACUUCUUUUAUGAGGGACGAAGGACGUGACGGUACCUCAUGAAUAAGCCACGGCUAACUACGUGCCAGCAGCUGC